rnacentral:rRNA from 1 species
AACGGGUGAGUAAUACAUGGGUGAUCUACCUUAGGGAUGGGGAUAUCCUUCCGAAAGGAGGGGCAAUACCGAAUAUUGUCCGGAGCCGUGUAGGGUUCCGGGGAAAGGGAGGCCUCUGAUACAAGCUUUCGCCUUAAGAUGAGCCCAUGGCCCAUCAGCUAGUUGGUAGGGUAAAGGCCUACCAAGGCUACGACGGGUCGCUGGUCUGAGAGGACGACCAGCCACACUGGCACUGAGAUACGGGCCAGACUCCUACGGGAGGCAGCAGUGAGGAAUAUUGCGCAAUGGGGGAAACCCUGACGCAGCAACGCCGCGUGUGGGAAGAAGGCCUUCGGGUCGUAAACCACUUUUGCACGGGACGAAAAAGGGAUAUCGAACAAUUAUCCCCGAUGACGGUACCGUGAGAAUAAGCCACGGCUAACUCUGUGCCAGCCGCCGCGGUAAUUCAAGGGC